rnacentral:rRNA from 1 species
CCUACGGGCGGCAGCAGUGAGGAAUAUUGGUCAAUGGACGAGGGUCUGAACCAGCCAAGUAGCGUGAAGGAUGACUGCCCUAUGGGUUGUAAACUUCUUUUAUAUGGGAAUAAAACGUUCCACGUGUGGGAUUUUGUAUGUACCAUAUGAAUAAGUAUCGGCUAACUCCGUGCCAGCAGCCGCGGUAAUACGGAGGAUCCGAGCGUUAUCCGGAUUUAUUGGGUUUAAGGGGAGCGUAGGUGGAUUGUUAAGUCAGUUGUGAAAGUUUGCGGCUCAACCGUAAAAUUGCAGUUGAAACUGGCAGUCUUGAGUACAGUAGAGGUGGGCGGAAUUCGUGGUGUAGCGGUGAAAUGCUUAGAUAUCACGAAGAACUCCGAUUGCGAAGGCAGUUCACUGGACUGCAACUGACACUGAGGCUCGAAAGUGUGGGUAUCAAACAUGAUUAGAUACCCGUGUAGUC